GUCCUCAGUUAUUGUCUCUAGUUCUUGAAGGCCUACUGCCUACAGUCCUUAUUCAAUUAACUUUAUUUUACUUCAUUUUUUAACCACACAGAAACUUUCUAAACUCUUUACUCUUCUGGGUCACAUUUCUGAACCAAAGGGGGACAUCACUAUGGUGAAGACAGUGUACUCUAUCCUCCUAAGCUCCGUACAUCCUAUAUCUCAUGGUAUUAAUAUCUUACCAUAU
rnacentral:lncRNA from 1 species